GCUCUAUUGGCGCAAUUGGUUAGCGCGUUCGGCUGUUAACCGAAAGGUUGGUGGUUCGAGUCCACCAUGGAGCG
rfam:Rozella allomycis CSF55 unplaced genomic scaffold scaffold_90, whole genome shotgun sequence.